rnacentral:misc_RNA from 1 species
CAUAAGAAUAACAAGAAUUUUUUAAAAAUAAUUUUGAUUUUAGACCAAAUUUAUGGAGUUGUUACAGAUUUAUUCAUAAUAAAUAGUAUAAUUAUAAAGCUUUUAUUGGUAAAUUGCUCGUAUGUUAAAUUUGCCUUACCCAUAAACUUUUUAUAUCAUGAUUUAUUUCUAAUUAUCAAGUUUCUAUUACUAAUGGGCUCGACUGAACCCAUGAUGGAUAUGGAAAAAAGUACCUCUUAGUUUCCACAGAGCGGAAAGAGUGAAAAUAUACUAUAGUAGAAACUCGAUAAUUCGUCAUGUUCUGCAAUUUGUCACCUCGAAAAGGUUUUAUUUUUAGACACUGAACCCUAUUUCACACGUAAUGUGUAAUAGCCAGUUCUCGUUAAUUGCUGUAUUUAGUGUGUUUUCAUUGCGUUUACAGUUCAAAGUUUUGGUUCUCAUUUUACGUACUGUAUUCGGAUUAAUUAAAAGUGAAUUAUAUAUUCUGUAAUGGCUUUAAAAGGACCGUCUAAUCGCCAAUCUACUGAUCUACCAUUGAAAUUCGAAAUUCUACAGCGUCUUAGAAAAGGAGAAAGAGCCAGCCAACUCUGUAACAUUUUCAAACGACUUAAAAAAGAAUGGAGACAAAAUCGAAAAUCAAGAAUGGAACUUACCUAUGGUGACGCGAGAUGGCUGGGAAAAUUUAAGAAGGAACACGGGUUUCGGCAGCUGUCUAUUCAAGGAGAAGUUACGAGUGAUGAUAGCGAAUGUAUUAAAAAUUAUUGCAAAAAAUUGAUCUCUCCGAUUUCAAAUUUAGGUUUAAAUAGAAUAGGUUUGAAUAAGUAACAUAAGCAGCACCCAUUGCAUUCUCGAUCUUGGAUACGUUAGCAUAUGUUCUAAAUGAAAGGUAAUCUCUCGGCUCACAAGUGUAUAACUGUGAUAAAAGCGAUCUGUAUCGGAUUGCUUUACCACCGAUAACUUCAGCGUGUGGUUCAGAAACUUUGGCUCCAGGAUAUAAAAUGAUGAAAGAAAGACUGACGAUUAUGGUUUGUUCAAAUGCAAGCUGAAAUCAUAAACCUCCAUUAAUAGUGGUUGGAAAAGCUAAGAAAUCAAGACCUCUAAAACAAUUUUAAUGGAAAAAUCUGUUGAUUAUUUCGGCCAAAAUAAAUGCAUAGAUGUAUUAAGAAAUUUUUACAAGCUUGUUUUGUUGUUCGGGUGAAAUCGUGUCUUAAUAACUCCUGUGCUUUUUGUGGAAAAUUUCUGAAAUUUUGCAGCCGACACGAGGAUUAAUAUCCGAAAGAAUUUACGAAAAACGUAGAAGAAUUUUAAAAAAUUGCAUUCUGUUUUCGGAACUCUUGUUUAUAAUUACUUCAAUAGUUUCAUUGGCUUGUGUAAUAAUUGCUGUUAUUGGCUUCAUGUCUUGGAAUCUCUUCUACUGGAUAUUUGGAAUCACAUCAGGAAUAUUUUGCUUUUCGAUUUUGAUGCGAAUGAUAUUAGGCUGCGUCAUAUAUCGUAUACCAGUAGAAAAUUUAGAUAGCCAGUAUAGUAAAAAGAAACCCGAGUUUCCUCCCGAAUUAUUCCACUGGACAUUAAGAAGAUAUUAAAAUGCAAACAAAGUCAUCCGCAAAAUAUUUUUAACCGUUAACUAUUUCGAAAUAUAUGUAAAUUUUGAUUUAAAAAAUUAUGAAAUUUCAUACGGUUA